CACGUAGGGCGCGAGCGUUGUCCGGAAUUAUUGGGCGUAAAGAGCUCGUAGGCGGCCUGUUGCGUCCGCUGUGAAAGCCCGGGGCUUAACCCCGGGUCGGCAGUGGAUACGGGCAGGCUAGAGGUAGGUAGGGGAGAAUGGAAUUCCCGGUGUAGCGGUGAAAUGCGCAGAUAUCGGGAGGAACACCGGUGGCGAAGGCGGUUCUCUGGGCCUUACCUGACGCUGAGGCACGAAAGCUAGGGGAGCAAACAGG
rnacentral:rRNA from 1 species